GCGCACGAGACAAGCUUCGACUCGUACGCAGCCUCAAUGUACAAUGAAGAAAUCAUGUCCACAAAGCCCCUCCAUUCGGCAAGGUUCGUUCUGAUGGCAGAUGACUAAUUCGCAUUCGCAGCUUGCCCGCGCUUUUUGCAGUUACUUUUGAUUGAAUUCGUUUUGAGAACUGCGGAAUGCAUUGUAUAAUUUCCAGCGCUAAUUAUUAAUGUCACUCGCUUCAGUUUCGUCGAUUCCAUUCAUAAAAAUUGAAUUGACGCCAGCGAUAAGUGCACCCUUACUGGCAUAUAUUCUAUCGUUUUCAUAACAUAAAACAUGCAGACAGGCCGAUUAACCCUCCACACUCUCACCACAUAGGAUAUAACCUUCUAGGUGUGCGCCCACAACCGAACUGCGAGCAUGUUUUCUGUUAUGGAAAUCAUAAAAAUGAAUGAAACCUAUAAGUGUACCUACUUUAUUCUUAAAUUCAAUUCGAACAUAUGGAAUCAACAAAACUAAUGCAGUGACAUCAAUAAUUGGCACUUGUGACUAUUGCUUGACACAAGCCCGUGUAAAGAGCUUCAUUUGACAGCUCUCUCACCACGCACACAUCCAAUGUACUUCGGCUUUAAAGGUUGUGACUGGAAUUGACGAGACGUUGGCUGUAGUUUAUAGAAUAAUGGUAAAAAACUAUGUGGAAAUGAAACAUCGAAUUUUGGUAAGGUGAACAAUCGGCCUACACUUGAUUUAACGAAUAAUGGACGGUAACUUUCCUGAAAUUAUGGAGAUCAUUGCAACCAUCGCAAACAGUAAUGCAUAAUCGAGUAGAGCGAGAAUAUUGCAGUUGAAUUACAGCUACAUUUUUCGAGAUAAAGCGGGUAAAGAUAAAUAUUUUUGCAGUUGGAGCAGUGGUACUUAUUUUGUAAAAUAAUUGUUGAUUACAAACUGCAACUACUCUUCUUUCAAGCGGUGAUAACGUAGUUAGAACCACUAAGUCCAGUUUUUGGUGGUAUUGUGUUCUGAUAUGAAGUGAUUAGUGAAGUUAUUGUGGUAUAUAAGUAAAUAAAGAAUUACCAAAAUUUACCGUUUCUUCUAACUAGUCAUUUUGAUGCCGUUUAAUCCUAAAUUUAAUUUACUGCAAUUCGAAAAUAAACAUGAAAACAAAGAUUGCGUGCGACAGUCAGUUAUGUUAAAGAAUUUGCAACCUGAAAGCAAUUUUCGGCGGACCCGCAAAAAUUGUUGGAGAGUGUGAUUUUGAUUGCUGGCAUACUUUUCACUUAACGUUUGCCAAUGUCUACUGGUGGUCAUCGGCGUCAAUUUGAAAUUUUUCUUGUCAGUGAAAGAAUGUGUUGGAGUAGAAAUCGGCCCUAUGUGGUUCUAGGGCAGAUGAAAUCAUAGAAGUGAUUGUAAUUUCAGGGAAUUUCUAUUCGAAAUUUCCUGCUGCAACUAAUUUAGUUCACUAGGAGCGCUUUGACAUAUCACGACAAUUCAACAUUCGCAACUUAAUGGCGUUGCAGGCGUUCCUUUUGCAAUGUAAAUCAAGAAGCUGACAGGUCGAUUGUUCUGAGUUGCGCCCUACUCUUUUAAGUGCUGCAGUUCAUUCUACUGCUGUUCAGGUUCGUAUCAUCCCAAUUUUUGUUCAGAUCUUUGCUGGUGUUUUCCAUUUCAGAUGCUGCAUAACUCAACCAACUAAGAGUGAAAACAUACCGAUGUAUUGUGUUAUCUUCGUGCUUGUGUUCAUUCAGGUAUGGAGCACAGUAGAUCUACUAUAGGCAGUACCCACACUAAAAUGAUCCCACUUGCGAAUGCGCUUGCAGAAGCUUAUCUGUACACAUCAGAGACGCUAAACAAGGAAAAGGCAUAAUCUUCGUCAAAUCGUAUUGUGGAAUUGUUUUCAACGAUGGAAGCAUGCAUAACAUUUCUGAAUUAAUCAAUCAUCGUAAUAUGUAACAGAUUUUUAUGAUGCUACAAUACAUAAUGCUGAUGAUGAUGUUGAUUAUUUCUGAUUGAAAGCAAGACAAUUUCCAUAUUAAGAAGGUUGCAUACAUGCCGCCGCCGCCGCCGCUACCACCGCUACCACAAUAUUUGAUUUUCAUUUAGAAGACACACAAUCAAACAUUAAUGAUUAACUGCUGCCUGCUGGAGAGGUAUCGGUAUGGAUGCUCUUCCUUUCCAUUACACUUGAUUUCAUUUCAAUAUAACAUUCCGUUGUACGGGAGCAGUAAAAUCCUCCUAAAUUCCAAGACAUUAAUCCU
rnacentral:lncRNA from 1 species